GAUGAACGCUAGCUACAGGCUUAACACAUGCAAGUCGAGGGGCAGCAUGGUCUUAGCUUGCUAAGGCCGAUGGCGACCGGCGCACGGGUGAGUAACACGUAUCCAACCUGCCGUCUACUCUUGGACAGCCUUCUGAAAGGAAGAUUAAUACAAGAUGGCAUCAUGAGUCCGCAUGUUCACAUGAUUAAAGGUAUUCCGGUAGACGAUGGGGAUGCGUUCCAUUAGAUAGUAGGCGGGGUAACGGCCCACCUAGUCUUCGAUGGAUAGGGGUUCUGAGAGGAAGGUCCCCCACAUUGGAACUGAGACACGGUCCAAACUCCUACGGGAGGCAGCAGUGAGGAAUAUUGGUCAAUGGGCGAGAGCCUGAACCAGCCAAGUAGCGUGAAGGAUGACUGCCCUAUGGUUGUAAACUUCUUUUAUAAAGGAAUAAAGUCGGGUAUGUAUACCCGUUUGCAUGUACUUUAUGAAUAAGGAUCGGCUAACUCCGUGCCAGCAGCCGCGGUAAUACGGAGGAUCCGAGCGUUAUCCGGAUUUAUUGGGUUUAAAGGGAGCGUAGAUGGAUGUUUAAGUCAGUUGUGAAAGUUUGCGGCUCAACCGUAAAAUUGCAGUUGAUACUGGAUAUCUUGAGUGCAGUUGAGGCAGGCGGAAUUCGUGGUGUAGCGGUGAAAUGCUUAGAUAUCACGAAGAACUCCGAUUGCGAAGGCAGCCUGCUAAGCUGCAACUGACAUUGAGGCUCGAAAGUGUGGGUAUCAGACAGG
rnacentral:rRNA from 1 species